UCACUCCGUGUACACCGUCCUCGCUCAGGUCGCCGCCGCCAGCGACUAGAGGGGAGGCGGCGAGAUGAAGAAGCUGAAGCUUGUGACCAGGCAUUUCCCCUUCUCACCUCAACUUUCUCGGCCCCAUUUUCUUGCUCUCCUCGCCGCCGGCAAGAUCUGAGCUUUUUCCUCUGCCUCCCAUCUUGCGGGCUCGCCACCGCUCCAGCUCCUCCGCGUUGCAGCCCCUCCACCUCCCGUGUCUCCACCGUGACACUAGCGCGCAGGCAAUGGCUGCCGGAACAAGUCCAGGAGGGACAUUUCCCCAGGGCUUGGAAGGGGUCCUAUCGGCAGAUGGCUUCUUCCCAAUGCCCGAGUUAGUCGCCUCGCUGAUUCCUCCGCCCGACGCGUUGGAAUCCUUUGACCGGCCUGGGUCAGAACGAUCGAUUGGCGGUGGAGGGACGGAAGCCAACGCCUUGCUCCAAGAAGGCUGCAGCGUCAACGAGGAAGGAGGUGCAUAAGGAGUUGGCGGCGGCUUCGACGACCACGCUGACGAAGAAUUGGGCAGCGGCAUCGACGUCUGCGCCGCCCAAGAAACUCAUUGAACAAUCAGUUGAUUAUAUGCGUCUCAGUGUAUUUGCGUCUUCAGAAAAGUGUGACCUCUAAGAUUUUUUUUAUAUUGCAAUAGGAAGCUGUAUUGUUAAUUCUUGCUCUCUGUAUAAUUUUGAUCCUCUAUUUCAAGCA